rnacentral:misc_RNA from 1 species
AAAAUAAAGGUUCAAUAAAAUACUACACGAACAUAUUCAUACAGCAGGCUGCUAACACAGGUUUUGCCUCAUUUUGAAUGAACUAGCAUUGAGUAACCCUCAAACUCCCUAUAUAACAAUAUUACACAUGAAGGUCGUUAUGACUUGAUGUUAGCUCUACAAAUUGGACAAGAAUUGAUUCAUAUGGGAAAACAAAUAAGCUCUGACGUGUUACUAUGCAAUGGCAAGCUUUAUCAAAGUCUUGCACGAAUCUUUGAGGUGGCAACCACAACAGCUAUUACUCCUCAAGUCAGAAAC